UUUGGAGGGCAAGUCUGGUGCCAGCAGCCGCGGUAAUUCCAGCUCCAAUAGCGUAUAUUAAAGUUGUUGCAGUUAAAAAGCUCGUAGUUGAAUUUCGGGAUCAAUGCGUCGGUCGUGCCUUCGGUACGUACUGGCGUCAUCGAUUCCUCCCUUCUUGAAGAACCGUGAUGUCAUUAAUUUGGUGUUACGGGGAAUCAGGACUGUUACCUUGAAAAAAUUAGAGUGUUUAAAGCAGG
rnacentral:rRNA from 1 species